GGUGACUUUAUUUUUCAGUUUUUAUAUAACAUUUGACUCCUCGUCUUAUUUAAAAAUUUUCUAUGAUUAAUAGUUUUAUUGUUAUUACAUGAUAAAACAUAAAUAGUACUUUAUGCGUAAUUAUUUUUUUCAUAGUUUAUUUAAAUAAGACGGACAAUCAAACGGUGUGCACAAACCCAAAAAUGAAGUUUUU
rnacentral:pre_miRNA from 1 species